rnacentral:rRNA from 1 species
CAGUCGCCGCGGUAAUACGAAGGGUGCAAGCGUUACUCGGAAUUACUGGGCGUAAAGCGUGCGUAGGUGGUGGUUUAAGUCCGUUGUGAAAGCCCUGGGCUCAACCUGGGAAUUGCAGUGGAUACUGGGUCACUAGAGUGUGGUAGAGGAUAGUGGAAUUUCCGGUGUAGCAGUGAAAUGCGUAGAGAUCGGGAGGAACAUCAGUGGCGAAGGCGGCCAUCUGGGACAACACUGACGCUGAGGCACGAAAGCGUGGGGAGCAAACAGGAUUAGAUACCCCUGUAGUCCCUGUCUCUUAUAA